rnacentral:lncRNA from 1 species
ACCGUGUUGAGUAUAAUUGAUUUAAUUCGCACUGAAAUGGGAAUGUGUAUUGGUGAAAGAGUUUAACUGGAAGAUUCAAUUGAAGCUGAAUUAAAAGCAAAAAGGGCUCUCUGAGCUGCCUUGAUGGGUUGAUAAUUAACUGUUUUUGUUCUCAGGUAGUUCUGAUGUGGUGCUUUAACCUUAGAUCACAUGAGAGGUAAUGAAUUGCAAAUUCACCAUCUUGGAAGGCUGGAGUCCUUUGUUCCCAGGCUCUGUGAGAGUGAGGAUGUAAAUGAAGCUCUCCAGGAGAAGGGUACAGGCUGGAAGAGACAGACCUCUGCUUCCAGAUGUGUGUGUUUCUCGCUUGAAGACUUGGGAAAAUUUGAAGAUGAAGUUCAUCCGUCAAUGACUGCACUAGGUAGUGAUCACUUGCAUGUAUGGAUAAGACACCUCAGCUUGAUACCUGAAGAAAAGCUUUCAGCUGUGCUUUGAACACCCAACUACAGAGACCCCCCCCCCAAAAAAAACCCCCUGCACAUCUAAGAUGAAAAGAACAGUAACAAACUCCCUGAAGGAAAAGUGGGAGAGACAUGAAAUAAAUAAAGCAAUAGCCUACAAUGUAAUUGAGAUUUUGAGAUUUUAAAGAUAUGAGGC